CAGCCGCCGCGGGAAAACGGAGGGGGCUAGCGUUGUUCGGAAUUACUGGGCGUAAAGCGCACGUAGGCGGCUUUGUAAGUUAGAGGUGAAAGCCUGGGGCUCAACUCCAGAAUUGCCUUUAAGACUGCAUCGCUUGAACGUCGGAGAGGUGAGUGGAAUUCCGAGUGUAGAGGUGAAAUUCGUAGAUAUUCGGAAGAACACCAGUGGCGAAGGCGGCUCACUGGACGACUGUUGACGCUGAGGUGCGAAAGCGUGGGGAGCAAACAGGAUUAGAUACCCCUGUAGUCCCUGUCUCUUAUAC
rnacentral:rRNA from 1 species